rnacentral:lncRNA from 1 species
GGAUGCGGCUGCAAAUUCUAAGCACAGGGAAGGUGAGUGGGAAGAGUCUGGAAGACGCAGCCCCCUCAGCCGCCUUCCAACCGGCAAACGUGGGUGAAUUAAUAUCCUGGAAGCACACUCACGAGGCAGGUUCCCCGGGCCCCCCCGUGGACCCUACUGAAUCAAAAUCUCCCCCGAAGCGGCCCAAGAUUCUGCAUUUUCACAAAGGCACUCCGGGACCAACCGGGCUUUCCGACCUCCAGACCUCGGCUCACGUGGUCUCUCCACCUGGCCUGCCCCCACCCAGAGGCCGGCUGGACCUCUUUCACAAUCCUCCAGCCAAAAUUAAACAAGAUAAUAGACCGUGUUUUGCCCUGUGCCUGGCACAUAGCAGGUGCGCUAUCCCGGGGAUCCUGCACUGCCCUGAGCAGAAGAGGCUCCAGCCUCUUCCCCUCCCGCCUCCCAGGCUGCGGGAGCACCUGACCUUCAAGCCUGUAGUGCCAGCCCCCUCGGGGGAGGGUCACAGACACCCAAGAAACGCCUGGCACACAAGCCCUACUGUGUGCAGGCCCCACACUGGGCCCUUGGCUGAUGCCCCACGCGUCCCCUCUCUCGUCCAGGAUGGAAACUCAUCUCUGUAG